CGCUCUAUGGCUUAGUUGGUUAAAGCACCCGUCUAGCGAAAACGGGGGCGUGUGUUCAAAUCCCACCAGAACGC
rnacentral:tRNA from 1 species